UUUCCCAAGCCAUGUCUCACAGCAGUAAAUGUUCACUCAAUACAAACCACCUAUUCGAGAAUUCUCGUGGCCGCAUUGUUUGAGACGGGGAAACAGAAAAAAACCUGGAGCUAACUCAAAUGCCCAUCAAAGGAGAAGAGAUAACGAAAUCGUAUUUCGUUCUUCAGAUGAAGCCAUUAGAUUGGAUAAGGCAGUUCUACAUGGACCAGGGUGAUAAGGUGUCACAGACAAGGCAGUCGACGCAGAAAAGCAAUGUACAUAAUGCCGUGCGUGUCCUUAAUACCACAAUAACUGCAGUAUUGUACCAGCCCACACCCACACUGGAUGCCAGCCUGUCCACACUGAAAGCAUCAGAAGUGGAUACAGCAAAGUAAACACCAAACCAACUGUACUGGGAGGAGGACUGGCUCAAUUAUAAAGUAAACUAGCUUCGCUCUGAGCUGGGGGAAGAAAUGUGGCCAUGUUUUUGGCACCUUUUAAUUGGAGAGAAAUGCCACCACGCUGGAGAAAACCCAAGGAGCAAUUAAGAGGAGGAAAACACUAGAAACUUCUAGAACUGGUUAAGUAUCGGUUCCAAAAGCCACGCACACUCAAAUUCCAGUAGGAUGGGGUGUCCGAAGGGGUGUGCGAAGGCCAAACGUGUGGAAAAGAGAUCCGCUCCUUGAUUUAAAUAGGAAGACGUGAAGUUAGAGGAAAACAGGCUUUACAUAAUUUAUUUGUUGCAUCAAGGAGAACUUGCAAGCGCCGGACCAGGGGGAUGAGCUGCUCUUUAAAAGCUCUGAUUACAGCAGAUUGACCAGGCAGCAGCUGACUUGGACUCUGGGGGACCUCUAUUAGCAUCUCCUUGGGAAGGGAAUGAAGCUGGACCCCCACUGAGCAUGUGGCCUCUGUAUAUCUAGCAACACCUUCUUCCGGAGAUGUUAAUAACACCCUACAGCAGUCCCCAGCUUAGUCCUGCUUGGAAUCCAGGUGUCUUGUGGAACCAUGCCCAACCACACUCCCUUUCCGGCAGCGUGGAGCAGAAGAAAUCUGAAAAGCUAAUAAUUAAGUGUUGGAUUCUCUUCGGGUCAUUUCAAUACGCUUGAGUGCACUGUGGUUUCACCGGGACAAGAAAGUGUGUCCAGAGGGAGCCUCCUUGGCUUCAGUCACUGUCCAGCAGUCUGUCAGCGAGCAACCUUAUUCAUCCUGCGCCCUUGCGCGCUUCACCUGCCCUCUCAGGUUUCUUCCCUUCAGACCGUAGUUCUGCGACCUCUAGUGUCCGCUUCCUGCUCUGCAAUGUGACUGGAGGAUUAGCUUUGCCUGCCCAGUGGCAAUUGUCCUGAAGUUCUCUGCACCCCUGGCUUAGACCUUGCGUGAUCUGCGGGGCUGGCGUCUCACAUGUCUAAAGGAGACCCUAACUCGUGAAAAUAUGCAGAAACGGUCUUCCUUGCCCUCUACUCACCGCGUGCCUUUCAGAAAUUCCUUGACAUCCCUGCCCAUCACACUUAGCGGUACCUCGGCAAUCUACCCAGUCCAGGUUCUCCCCAGCCUGGGAAAUACUUUUGAAGGCUUACGAUUUCUGAGUGGUUGUGACCAUUAACCCCUUGUAUAGGAUUGGAGAGACAGGUACGUUCUCUGUGCAGAGGAAUGAAAUGCCAGGGCCUCUGUUGAGAAGAGAGCUCUGCUCCUGUUCAGGAAGCCUUAGGUUCAAACCCCAGCCAGCACGACAAAAACUCCACCCAGAAGGACCUGUAUGUAACCCAGGGUGGGGAUUGAGACAGGAGGAUCUGCAAUUCAAGGUCAUUGUUCUGGGGAGACAGCUUUCUCAAUAAAGUCCUUGGUCUAGAAGCAUGAGGGCUCACACAGGAUAGCAAGAACUACAUAAAAAGCCAGUUUGGUCGUACACGUUUAUAAUCCCAGAGAUAGAGAAGCAGAACCAGAUGGAUCCCUGAGGCUCUUAAUGAGCAAGACCCAGGUCCAGCUGAGAGACUUUGUUUCAAAAAAAGAAAGUGGGGGUCGGGGUGAGGUUGGAAAAGUGCCUGCUAGUAGGAUGAAGCCCUGGGUUGGUUCCCCAGGGCACAGCACCUAAAACCGGGAGUGAUGAUACAGGUUUGCACUCCCAGUACUUGGAAGAGAGAUCAGAAAGAGGCUCAAGUUCAAGGUCUGAGGGCUGGAGAGAUGAGUAGUCAAGAGCGUUGGCUGCUCUUCCAGAGGACCAGGGUUCAUUCCCAGCACCCACACAGCAACUCACAACCAUUUGCAACUCCAGUCCCAGGAGAUCCGGCUCCCUCUUCUGACCUCUGAAGCCACGACACAGAUGCCCAAGAUUCAUGGACAUACAUGAAGGCAAAACAUGCAUGCAUACCCAUAAAAAUAAAAAUAA
rnacentral:sRNA from 1 species